rnacentral:rRNA from 1 species
CCCUUAGAUGUCCUGGGCUGCACGCGCGCUACACUGAUGUGUCCAGUAAGCACCUAACCUCUUCCGAAAGGAACGGGUAACCUUUGCAAAGCACAUCGUGAUGGGGAUAGAUUAUUGAAAUUAUUAGUCUUGAACGAGGAAUUCCUAGUAAGCACAAGUCAUCAGCUUGUGUUGAUUACGUCCCUGCCCUUUGUACACACCGCCCGUCGCUCCUACCGAUUGAAUGUUCCGGUGAGCUCUUCGGACUGCGCGGUCUGCAGUUUCUGCGUUCCGUGCGGAAAGUUGCGCAAACCUUAACAUUUAGAGGAAGGAGAAGUCGUAACA